rnacentral:rRNA from 1 species
GAUGAACGCUGGCGGCGUGCCUAAUACAUGCAAGUCGAGCGGACGGACGAGACGCUUGCGUCUCUCAUGUUAGGGGAGGGCGGGUGUGUAACGCGUGUAUAACCUACCUAUCUGACGGGGAUAACUUCGAGAAACCGGAGCUAAUACCGGAGAAUAUUUUGAACCGCGGGGUGGAAAAGUGAAAGACGGUCUUGCUGUCACUUAUAGAUGGAUCCGCGCUGCAUUAGCUAGUUGGUAAGGUAACGGCUUACCAAGGCAACGAUGCAUAGCCGAGCUGAGAGGGUGGUAGGCCACACUGGAACUGAGACACGGUCCAGACGCCUACGGGAGGCAGCAGUAGGGAAUCUUCCGCAAUGGGCGAAAGCAUGACGGAGCAACGCCGCGUGAGUGAUGAAGGUCUUCGGAUCGUAAAACUCUGUUAUGAGGUAAGAACAGAUGUGUAAGUAACUGAGCACAUCGUGACGGUACCUAAUCAGAAAGCAACGGCUAACUACGUG